rnacentral:rRNA from 1 species
GACGAACGCUGGCGGCGUGCCUAAUACACGCAAGUAGAACGCUGAAGGAGGAGCUUGCUUCUCCGGAUGAGUUGCGAACGGGUGAGUAACGCGUAGGUAACCUGCCUGGUAGCGGGGGAUAACUAUUGGAAACGAUAGCUAAUACCGCAUAACAGUAGAUAUUGCAUGAUAUCUGCUUGAAAGGUGCAAUUGCAUCACUACCAGAUGGACCUGCGUUGUAUUAGCUAGUUGGUGAGGUAACGGCUCACCAAGGCGACGAUACAUAGCCGACCUGAGAGGGUGAUCGGCCACACUGGGACUGAGACACGGCCCAGACUCCUACGGGAGGCAGCAGUAGGGAAUCUUCGGCAAUGGACGGAAGUCUGACCGAGCAACGCCGCGUGAGUGAAGAAGGUUUUCGGAUCGUAAAGCUCUGUUGUAAGAGAAGAACGAGUGUGAGAGUGGAAAGUUCACACUGUGACGGUAUCUUACCAGAAAGGGACGGCUAACUACGUG